rnacentral:lncRNA from 1 species
UCACAUUCAAAUAUUGGAUUUCAAGAUCAAGCUUAUUAAGGAAGCCAAAUCCAAAGAUCACAUGUUUCCCACUUAGUAUCAUGCACAUUCAAAAUUCAAAAGGAGGCUCCACCUUCCUUAUUAGUACAUGGGCAGCCUCUUAACUCUUUAGGCAACAUCUUGAAGACCUUGGGCAGCAAUUAAAAAGACCAAAGAGCCCCCACUUGCCCCCC